rnacentral:piRNA from 1 species
UCUCAGAGGCAGCGUAGCAAAGAAUUGUU